rnacentral:rRNA from 1 species
UACGUAGGGGGCAAGCGUUGUCCGGAUUUAUUGGGCGUAAAGAGCGUGUAGGCGGCCAGUUAGGUCCGUUGUGGAAAACUCGGAGGCUCAACCUCGAGACGCCGAAUGGAAACCAACUGGCUAGAGUCCGGAAGAGGAGAGUGGAAUUCCCGGUGUAGCGGUGAAAUGCGCAGAUAUCGGGAAGAACACCCGUGGCUAAGGCGGCUCUCUAGUACGGUACUGACGCUGAGACGGCGAAAGCGUGGGGAGCGAACAGG